GGGGAGGAGUCAAGGGCAGGGAUGCAGUAUUUGAUUGACAGCCUCUGUCAAAUGCAGGCAGCAUCCCUAGAUCUGGUCCAGGAGCCAAUGAAGAAAAUGUUAGAGUAACUAACUGACCACUGUGAUAUGACUGUGUCUGUUGAAUUUGGCAACAUAUGCAAAUAUUGUAAACAAACAAGCAAAGAAUCCCAGUGUCUUAUUGACAUUCUGACAAUGUGUAUUAUAGAAAGUUGUUGUUGUUGUAAUAGGCAUUUGAGAUAUACAUACUAUUCUAUGUUGUGAUUCCAUUUCGAUUGAAACUGAAUCUUAGGUAACAAUCAUUGAAAUAAAUAGAUUGCCAACACA